UGCCCAGCAACUCCUAUCCCUACCUCCUCGUGGUACUGGCCGGGGUACGAGUAACCUUAGGGAAGAUCCGGCAACCAACCUCAAUGGGAACUUUGAUCGUAGGCUGACAGGGAAUG
rnacentral:ribozyme from 1 species